ACGUUGUCUUCUGUUGUGUUCCGUAAGCAGUCACGUUAUGCUCUAUGUGCACCCUUUGCUCUCUGUUUUUCCUCCUCAUGUUUGAUUUGUCCCGUUGUCUUCCUUGACGAUCCUUCUGCAGACCUCGGUUCCCGCGUUGACGUUGCUGUGUGUUUCAUCAUUCCUUGUCACCCCCUGCUUCCUGGACUGCCUCCUCGAUCCUCGACCUCCUGCUUGGACACGAUCCUCUGACUCCUUGCCAUUCGCCCUGACUUUCUGCCUAGCCCCUUUGGACUUCUCUCGCUUAAACAUUAGAUGUCCAGUCCACACGGAAAAGCGAGAAUGCGUCCAGGGAGACCGAAGUGUUCGGUACAUGCUCAUUUAGCCAUUGCAACAUUCAUGGUCAGCUCCGCAGAACUGUCUCUUCCUCUGCAUCUCCUCCGGUCUAUUUACGCAAACUCCGGUGUGCAGAAAGCCAACUGUGGGUUUUCCGUGCAAAUACGGGCAUGGCCAAAAGUCUCCCAAGGUGGAUCCAAGAGUUCACAAACAAUCUCCAAAAAGCACUGCAUGCGUCACCAAAGUGCCAUCCCUUGUUGCGCAGUCCCAAAAGGGCCUGAACCAACGGGCAGAAAACACACAAAAACAAGUGGGAAACAUCAAGGACCCAGGAGGAGGACACACACGAGCACAGAGCUCCUGCAACCAGCAGCCACUACAGCGCCACACCUGUGAGGUACCUGGCUUAUGUGCUCACAAAUACCAAUUUCAAUACAUUUGUCAACAAUAUUUGAAAUAGAUCUUUUGUGUCCAUUGAUAUUUGGGUUCAGUUCAUGAUAAAUAAGAGCAAAAGCAAAAGUGUUGCAUUUAUAUCUUUGUUCAGUGUAUACUCCAUUAAUAUUUGAAGAAUCAAAUUAAAUCUGAUUAAAAAAUG